rnacentral:lncRNA from 1 species
ACGGUCAGUGUUUGAUUUCGAAGAUUAUUUUUGGAAAAAAAUACUCUAUUUAUACGCGUUUCUUGCAGCAAAUCAUUAAUACAAUUAUAUUUCAGUUAUAAUUGCCUUCCCUUAAACAGAAUAGUUGCGGAAAUAUGUUUUAGUUAUGUGUGCAUGUCAUUUCCAUUCUUUUAUUUUCUGGUUUAGGGUCCCUUUUGUACAG